UAAGUUUUCCUUUUUACUCCUUAGCUGCUAGCGCAGUUUUAAUGAUAGCUGUUUCACAUGUGCAUGCGGCACUCAUGUGGGCAGAGCUGUCAGAAGACUGUAAAGUCUCAACCAUCCUGCGAUUGCUUGCACCUGAGGAAGACGGAAUGACGAUGUUCUGCGCCAUGAGAAUACACUGCAUCGAACACAGAACAAAAAGACUCACUACAACGCUGCAGCCACAAUAGUGUGUGAUUUCAAGUCUUAAAAACCAGAAUCACUUUCUUCUCUGGACUGGAAGCAUAUUUAUUUUGGCCGGUAAAUGAGGACUUGUUCCCUGCCUGGGGUGGCGGGGCCGGGGAGAAGCUCUGUUCCGCUGGCUGUGGCGGCAGGCGGGCAGGCAGGUUCCAGUUUCCAGUUUGGCCCAAUUCCUCCAAGCUAGCCCUGCUGUCACCUACGGAAAACAGAGAACCUGGGGGGAUGUGCUGAAGGCAGCUCCUGAGCCUUCCCACUCCCCACACGCCCUCACAUCAGCAGCAGAGCCCGGGG
rnacentral:lncRNA from 1 species